rnacentral:rRNA from 1 species
GCAAGUCGAGGGGUAACAUUGUAGCUUGCUACAGAUGACGAGUGGCGCACGGGUGCGUAACGCGUAUGCAACCUACCUUUUACUGAGGGAUAGCCCAGAGAAAUUUGGAUUAACACCUCAUAGUAUUAUAAGAUGGCAUCAUCUAAUAAUUAAACAUUUAUGGGUAAAAGAUGGCUAUGCGUUCUAUUAGCUAGAUGGUAAGGUAACGGCUUACCAUGGCAACGAUAGAUAGGGGUCCUGAGAGGGAGAUC